CGUUCCUACGGGAGGCAGCAGUGGGGAAUAUUGCACAAUGGGGGGAACCCUGAUGCAGCAAUGCCGCGUGGGUGAAGAAGCACUCCGGUGCGUAAAGCCCUGUCAGCAGGGAAGAAAAUGACAGUACCUGGACAAGAAGCCCCGGCUAACUACGUGCCAGCAGCCGCGGUAAUACGUAAGGGGCAAGCGUUAUCCGGAUUUACUGGGUGUAAAGGGAGCGUAGACGGCGCGGCAAGUCUGAAGUGAAAGGCAGGGGCUUAACCCCUGAACUGCUUUGGAAACUGCCAUGCUAGAGUGCUGGAGAG
rnacentral:rRNA from 1 species